rnacentral:rRNA from 1 species
UCGGUCUAUAUCCUAUCAGUUAGUUGGUGAGGUAAUGGCUCACCAAGGCAAUGACAGGUAGCGGGUUUGAGAGGAUGAUCCGCCACACUGGUACUGAGACACGGACCAGACUCCUACGGGAGGCAGCAGUGAGGAAUAUUGCACAAUGGGGGAAACCCUGAUGCAGCAACGCCGCGUGGAGGAUGACGCAUUUCGGUGUGUAAACUCCUUUUAUAUGUCAAGAAAAUGACGGUAGCAUAUGAAUAAGCACCGGCUAACUCCGUGCCAGCAGCCGCGGUAAUACGGAGGGUGCAAGCGUUAUUCGGAAUCACUGGGCGUAAAGGACGCGUAGGCGGGCUUGNUAAGUCAGGUGUGAAAUCCUACAGCUUAACUGUAGAACUGCACUUGAAACUACUGGCCUAGAGUAUGGGAGGGGGAGAUGGAAUUAGUGGUGUAGGGGUAAAAUCCGUAGAUAUCACUAGGAAUACCUAAAGCGAAGGCGAUCUCCUGGAACAUAACUGACGCUAAGGCGUGAAAGCGUGGGGAGCAAACAGGAUUAGAUACCCUGGUAGUCCACGCCCUAAACGAUGAACACUAGUCGUCGGGGCANNCUAGUUGCNUNUCGGUGAUGCACUUAACAGAUUAAGUGNUCCGCCUGGGGAGUACGGUCGCAAGAUUAAAACUCAAAGGAAUAGACGGGGACCCGCACAAGUGGUGGAGCAUGUGGUUUAAUUCGAAGAUACGCGAAGAACCUUACCUAGCCUUGACAUUGAUAGAACACCCUAGAGAUAGAGUGGUGCCCUUCGGGGAACUUGAAAACAGGUGCUGCACGGCUGUCGUCAGCUCGUGUCGUGAGAUGUUGGGUUAAGUCCCGCAACGAGCGCAACCCUCGUCCUUAGUUGCCAGCGGUUCGGCUGGGCACUUUAAGGAGACUGCCUUCGCAAGAAGGAGGAAGGUGAGGACGACGUCAAGUCAUCAUGGCCCUUAUGGCUAGGGCUACACACGUGCUACAAUGGGGCGUACAGAGAGUUGCGAUACCGCGAGGUGGAGCCAAUCUCAUAAAGCGUCUCUCAGUUCGGAUUGAAGUCUGCAACUCGACUUCAUGAAGCUGGAAUCACUAGUAAUCGUAGAUCAGCGAUGCUACGGUGAAUACGUUCCCGGGUCUUGUACUCACCGCCCGUCACACCAUGGGAGUUGAUUUCACCCGAA